GGUACAAUAAAGAUGGAAGUUUCAGUGAUGAAAUAGGCUGCGAGAUUCAGUGGCGUUACGCGACUACCGUAGUGGCACAACCCGACCACUAGCAUGACCAAGGUCAAUUUCUCUUUGAAUCUCGGUCUACCUAAGGAAAAAGGUGGGAGAUCUCCUUGCUGAUCCAGAUAAGAAGAAUGGACAGAAUACUCUGCUGAACUUUGUGGAGGGGAUUUUGUCCUUUGAAACUGGAUAUAGGGGUUGAUUAGCCCGUUGGUUCAAUUUAUAGAAGUUUGAUUUCAGAUCUCGCCCUCAAUUUAUCGCAACAA